rnacentral:rRNA from 1 species
GACGAACGCUGGCGGCGUGCUUAACACAUGCAAGUCGAACGGAAAGGCCCUGCUUUUGUGGGGUGCUCGAGUGGCGAACGGGUGAGUAACACGUGAGUAACCUGCCCUUGACUUUGGGAUAACUUCAGGAAACUGGGGCUAAUACCGGAUAGGAGCUCCUGCUGCAUGGUGGGGGUUGGAAAGUUUCGGCGGUUGGGGAUGGACUCGCGGCUUAUCAGCUUGUUGGUGGGGUAGUGGCUUACCAAGGCUUUGACGGGUAGCCGGCCUGAGAGGGUGACCGGCCACAUUGGGACUGAGAUACGGCCCGGACUCCUACUGGAGGCAGCAGUGGGGAAUAUUGCACAAUGGGCGGAAGCCUUAUGCAGCAACGCCGCGUGCGGGAUGACGGCCUUCGGGUUGUAAACCGCUUUCGCCUGUGACGAAGCGUGAGUGACGGUAAUGAGUAAAGAAGCACCGGCUAACUACGUG